rnacentral:rRNA from 1 species
AGAGUUGAUUAUGGCUCAGGAUGAACGCUAGCUACAGGCUUAACACAUGCAAGUCGAGGGGCAGCAUGGGAGUAGCUUGCUACUCCUGAUGGCGACCGGCGGAUGGGUGCGCAACGCGUGUCCAACCUGCCCCAGUCCCGGGGGAUAGCCCUUGGAAACGAGGAUUAACACCCGAUGGUGCUGCAUAGCCGCAUGGCUUAGCAGCUAAAUUGCGAGGACUGGGAUGGGGACGCGUACCAUUAGGUAGUCGGCGGGGUAACGGCCCACCGAGCCGACGAUGGUUAGGGGUUCUGAGAGGAAGGUCCCCCACACUGGAACUGAGACACGGUCCAGACUCCUACGGGAGGCAGCAGUGAGGAAUAUUGGUCAAUGGCGGAGACGCUGAACCAGCCAAGUAGCGUGCAGGAUGACGGCCCUACGGGUUGUAAACUGCUUUUAUGCGGGGAUAAAAGAAGGGACGUGUCCCUUAUUGCAGGUACCGCAUGAAUAAGGACCGGCUAAUUCCGUGCCAGCCGCUGC